rnacentral:lncRNA from 1 species
GGGGAGUAAAGAGCCAGAUGAUGGGGCCGGGCCUAGACUGGCCCUUCCUUGGCCCUGCAGGCACCGUGGGCCUGGGGCAGCCCUGAGGCCUCGCUGGGUCCCCAGCACCAUCUGCUGUGACAGGAGGAAAUCCACGUCCAGCCACCCUCUCUGUGCUAUCCCCUCAGUCACCUCGAUGCUGGAGGCGGAGGGCUCAGAGCCACUGCCCAGCGGCCGUACCACAGCGGACUCUCCUUAGACCGGUGCUGAGCCCGGCGGCCGGGCAAGGUGCAGAGGUGGCUCCAGACCCGCCGGCAGUCCAGCUGGCGCUAUCUCUGGGGCAGAACCCGUGGCCCCAGGCGGUGACAGCCUGUGUGUUUUCAGUGUUCACUCCUCACUCCAGCUCACCUGUUCCUGGCACUCUGGGCUGGGACUUGCUGGGACCCCCCACUUCCACCCAGCCCUUGCUGCUCCCUGAGGGUGGAGAGGAAACCCUGUCCUCAGGCCCUGUGAGCCGGAGAGAGCGCAUCUACGUGGUGACAGGCGGAUGAGGCGGUCUCUCGGGGACUCCAGGAGGGCCUUGAGCCUUGGAACCAAUGAAAACAGGUUCCUGCUCUGCCGUCCAGGCUGGAGUGCAGUAGUGCCAUCACGACUCAUUGCGGCCUUGACCUCCCAGGCUCAAGCGAUUCUCCUGCCUCAGCCUCCCAGGCAGGGGCCACAGGCACCAGCCAGCAUGCCCAGGCAAUCUCAGCAUCCUAAAGCCUGCUAUGCCUGGGAUGGCUGAUUCUCCUGGGGACCGGUGGGCAGGCAGUGGGGAUGCCGUGCUAAGCGAGGUCCUGCUGGUGCCUCUUGGGUUUCCUUUCUAAGCAGCCCACACUCCUGGGCCUGGUCUCGGAGAGCAGCAGUUUCUUGAGGGCAGGAGAAAUGAAAACAGGUUUUAUUUAUGGACAAAUAGUCGCAGCAGUUCCAUUGACAGACGCAGGCCGAUCUGCCGGCUCUUGGAGGCUGGAGCCUCUUGGGAGAUCUGUCUCCUCCGAGUCCUGUGCUUGGGUUUUAACUGGGUUUCUGCAAGGUGAUCCCAGCUGACAAUUUUGGGGAGAGAAUCAGGACAAUGGCAGCCCCACAGAAAGGGUUGAGACCGGUUCGGAAGGGCUGCUCACCCCUCGGGCUGGAAUGGAGCUGCCGGUGACCCGGUGGAGGCUGCGAACCCCAAGGGCAGGAGCCAGGGAGCCCCAUCCUGUGCCUUGGGGAGCACUUGUCUGCCGGGAGAGGAGGCCUGGUGCCUGCUGCCUCUCCCCUUGAAUUGUGGUGUUGUGGAGUAAUUGGUAGCCCCGAAAAGAUACGUCCAUUGGAACCUGUGUGACCUUAUUUGGGAAAAGAGUGUGCAGAUGUAACUGAGGACUGUGCGAUGAGAUCAUCCUGGAUCGGAGUGGGCCCUAAAUCUAAUGACCAGUAUCCUUAGAUGACACAGAGACGCACAGGGGGAAGCCACGUGGAGACAGAAGCAGAGAAAGGAGCGAUUCGGCCACAAGCCAAGGAAUGCCAAGAGCCUCCAGGAGCUGCAGGAGGCAGGAAGGGUCCUUCCCUAGAGCCUCCGCGGAGUGUGGGCCUGGGACCCUGAUUUCAGGCCUCCAGAGCCACGGAGGACACAUUUCUGUGUUUUGAGCCUCUGCAGCCCCAAGAGACCAGUGCCUGCCCAGGAGACCCUCGGGGUUUCUGUGGUUCUUCCUGACAGGCAGAAGCAUGAAAGGUAUUUGGGGUUGGAGCUGUCAAAACACAGAUCUCCACCCCGCUGGUUUUAACUGGAGGCUUUCUGAGCAUCUCUGUGCUGAUCGGACACAAAUGCAGUUAUUUUUAAUACAUUAGAUGGGCUCCUUUUGAAGAAGCUGUCAGGAAAAUCCACUGCAGGAAGUUUGAUGGGUGCCCUGCACCUUGUCUGAGUGCCCUGCAAUUACCCGCUUCUAGUCUGUGGCAGGUUCGCCAGGGUAGGGGCCUUGGGGACCCUCCCUGUUCCAGGCAUGCUUCCUUUGGUUAGAAGCAUGCUUCCAGGUCACUGCACUAGCAUCUGAGUGUUUGUCCCUAACCGUCUGGGCCUCUGGGGUUGCAGGGGCCCCACUGUCCCAGGGCUCUGCUGAGAGCUGCUGCCCUCUGAGCUGGGGUCUGGGUGCAGUUUGGCUCCUCCCAGGACUUGGGAGGUCAUGGCUCGGGUCCCCUGAGAGUUUGGGCCACUUUGGCAAAGCAAACUUCUGAGCGGGGCAGAAUCUUGGACCCUCAACCCUGUGCCAGGCCUGUGGGGACAGUGGGGCCGUUUGGGCAGCCACUCCCCACUGCCUCCUACAAGCUGGUUGAAGCCACUGGGCAGACACAGAGCUGCCAGACCUCUUGCCCAUGGCCCCUCCCAUCUCUGCCUCCUGCCCCAGAGGCUGCUGCCUCCGCCUGACCUGCUGCCACAGGAAGACCACCUGGAGACCACCCAGGGGGUCAGCGUGUUCACCUGAAGCCAGCUUCAAAGCAACCCCAGUGUUUCGCUGGCUCGGCCCUGACUCCCUCAGCCCAUCACAGGUGCAGAGGAAAUAAAGCCCCGUGCUUGGGGGCUCCCUGUACUAAGGACAGGCCAGAGAGAGGAGCUUCAGGCUGCUGUGUCUGAGGAGGUCCCUGGGCUGGAAAGACCUCUGUCCCCACUGGCAGCUUCUGUGUCUUAAGGGUGCAGGGCAGGGCAGUGGUGAUGGGAAAUGCUGGUGAGCCCUGGACCAGGGAUCCUGGAUCUGGUCCUCCACCAUGGGGUCAGCCCAGAUGGAAUGGCUUAUCCCUCAGCUCCAGGCAAUAAAUAGUGACCCCCGACAGCCGCUUCCUACUGUGCACAUCCUGCUGGGCACGCAGCCUGAAGUCGACAGGUGGACAAAUGAGCGUUCCUUGCCCUGGCUCCUGACCAGCACAUUCCGGACGGCUCUAUUCGCAGCUCCGGAGUGACACGGCCCAGACACACUUGCGGUCCCUCCCUGACUCGCAGGAGCCGGGGGCUUCGUGAUUCUGCCAAUCAACUGGGAAGUGACACCCCAGACAGCAGCAUCCCACGGCUGUUGUGAGCAGUUACAAUUGAGUGAUGCCCAAGCAGGAAUGAUUCCCAAACAGCUCCCGUACUCUCUGAAUGCUGAGAGCCUGGAAGUGUGAGUUUUUAAGGAGAGGAACCGUGUUUGAAUUAUAAGAAAACAAGGCUCUUGAAAUAAUUCUCUUAACCUUUAAAUAUGUCAAAGGAGAGUUACUGAAAUUUACAGUAAGUUCACCUUUUCACAGACAACAGGCUAAAAAUGUUUAAGUCCAAAUAAUGUUGCUCUUUUUCAUAAGCUUCAGUGUAAGAUUUACUCAAACACAGUGGCUGUCCUCAGACUCAUGUUUCUUGGAUAACUCUAUUUCUUUGUUCUGUGUUCUUUUGUAACAUUGUUUUAAUAAUUCCUUUGAGCCCAAGCCUUUUAUCAUAAGCUGCCUCAGAUCUUUUUGAAAGUAGGCAGUGUUUAAAAUCUACGGAUGACUUUCGCCAGGGGUACUGGACUAGCUCUCCUGCCAUAAACAACUAUAAAAUUGUA